GACGAACGCUGGCGGCGUGCUUAACACAUGCAAGUCGAACGGAAAGGCCCUGCUUUUGUGGGGUGCUCGAGUGGCGAACGGGUGAGUAACACGUGAGUAACCUGCCCUUGACUUUGGGAUAACUUCAGGAAACUGGGGCUAAUACCGGAUAGGAGCUCCUGCUGCAUGGUGGGGGUUGGAAAGUUUCGGCGGUUGGGGAUGGACUCGCGGCUUAUCAGCUUGUUGGUGGGGUAGUGGCUUACCAAGGCUUUGACGGGUAGCCGGCCUGAGAGGGUGACCGGCCACAUUGGGACUGAGAUACGGCCCAGACUCCUACGGGAGGCAGCAGUGGGGAGUAUUGCACAAUGGGCGGAAGCCUGAUGCAGCAACGCCGCGUGCGGGAUGACGGCCUUCGGGUUGUGAACCGCUUUCGCCUGUGACGAAGCGUGAGUGACGGUAAUGGGUAAAGAAGCACCGGCUAACUACGUG
rnacentral:rRNA from 1 species